GCCGAAAGGCGUAGCCGAUGCACAUACGGUAGAAAUUCCGUAGCCUCUAUCAAUUUAAACACAGGGACACUUUUGAAGGGUUCAGCCGGGCGAUGGUUGCCCCGGUCGUAAGGGACUGCAAAUGAGCGGGAAGUGUAUUUGGAAGAAGGCGAGAAAAGCUGUGUGAAUAGAAGAUAGAGCCCGUACCGCAAACCGACACAGGUAGAUAGGAAGAAGAUUCUAAGGCCAACGGGAGAAGGGUUGUUAAGGAACUCGGCAAGUUGACCCCGUAACUUAGGGAGAAGGGGUGCUCUUUAAGGAGAGCCGCAGAGAAUAGGCCCAAGCGACUGUUUAGCAAAAACACAGCUCUAUGCUAAACCGAAAGAUGACGUAUAUGGGGUGACACCUGCCCGGUGCCGGAAGGUUAAGAGGAGGAGUGAGAGCUCUGAAUUGAAGCCCCGGUAAACGGCGGCCGUAACAAUAACGGUCCUAAGGUAGCGAAAUUCCUUGUCAGGUAAGUUCUGACCCGCACGAAUGGUGUAACGAUUUGGGCACUGUCUCAACAACCUGCCCGGCGAAAUUGUAGUACCGGUGAAGAUGCCGGUUACCCGCGACUAGACGGAAAGACCCCAUGGAGCUUUACUGCAGCUUAAUAUUGAAUUUCGGUAUUUCAUGUACAGGAUAGGUGGGAGACAGGGAACCAUAGGCGUCAGCUUAUGGGGAGUCGACCUUGGGAUACCACUCUUGAGGUGCUGGAAUUCUAACCUGUGGCUCUGAAUCGAGUCAGGGGACAUUGUUAGGCGGGCAGUUUGACUGGGGCGGUCGCCUCCAAAAAGGUAACGGAGGCGCUCAAAGGUUCGCUCAGCAUGGAUGGAAACCAUGCUUUUGAGUGUAAACGCAAAAGCGAGCCUAACUGCGAGACUGACGGGUCGAGCAGUAACGAAAGUUGGAGUUAGUGAUCCGGCGGUAUGUGAGUGGAAAUGCCGUCGCUCAACGGAUAAAAGCUACCCUGGGGAUAACAGGCUGAUCUCCCCCAAGAGUCCACAUCGACGGGGAGGUUUGGCACCCCGAUGUCGGCUCAUCGCAUCCUGGGGCUGAAUUCGGUCCCAAGGGUUUGGCUGUUCGCCAAUUAAAGCGGUACGCGAGCUGGGUUCAGAACGUCGUGAGACAGUUCGGUCCCUAUCUGUCGUGGGCGUAGGAUAUUUGAAAGGAGCUGUCCCUAGUACGAGAGGACCGGGAUGGACGCACCGCUGGUGCACCAGUUGUCAUGCCAAUGGCACAGCUGGGCAGCUAUGUGCGGAACGGAUAAACGCUGAAGGCAUCUAAGCGUGAAGCCGACCUUAAGAUAAGAUAUCCCUUCGUAAGAGUAAGACCUCUCAUAGACUAUGAGUUUGAUAGGCCUAAGGUGUAAGCACAGUGAUGUGUUCAGCCUGCAGGUACUAAUCGGUCGAGGGCUUUUCC
rnacentral:rRNA from 1 species